CGCUGGCGGCGUGCCUAAUACAUGCAAGUCGAGCGAAUGGAUUGAGAGCUUGCUCUCAAGAAGUUAGCGGCGGACGGGUGAGUAACACGUGGGUAACCUGCCCAUAAGACUGGGAUAACUCCGGGAAACCGGGGCUAAUACCGGAUAACAUUUUGAACCGCAUGGUUCGAAAUUGAAAGGCGGCUUCGGCUGUCACUUAUGGAUGGACCCGCGUCGCAUUAGCUAGUUGGUGAGGUAACGGCUCACCAAGGCAACGAUGCGUAGCCGACCUGAGAGGGUGAUCGGCCACACUGGGACUGAGACACGGCCCAGACUCCUACGGGAGGCAGCAGUAGGGAAUCUUCCGCAAUGGACGAAAGUCUGACGGAGCAACGCCGCGUGAGUGAUGAAGGCUUUCGGGUCGUAAAACUCUGUUGUUAGGGAAGAACAAGUGCUAGUUGAAUAAGCUGGCACCUUGACGGUACCUAACCAGAAAGCCACGGCUAACUACGUGCCAGCAGCCGCGGUAAUACGUAGGUGGCAAGCGUUAUCCGGAAUUAUUGGGCGUAAAGCGCGCGCAGGUGGUUUCUUAAGUCUGAUGUGAAAGCCCACGGCUCAACCGUGGAGGGUCAUUGGAAACUGGGAGACUUGAGUGCAGAAGAGGAAAGUGGAAUUCCAUGUGUAGCGGUGAAAUGCGUAGAGAUAUGGAGGAACACCAGUGGCGAAGGCGACUUUCUGGUCUGUAACUGACACUGAGGC
rnacentral:rRNA from 1 species